rnacentral:rRNA from 1 species
UACAGAGGGUGCGAGCGUUGUUCGGAAUUAUUGGGCGUAAAGGGCGCGUAGGCGGUGCGGUAAGUCACCUGUGAAAUCUCCUGGCUCAACUGGGAGCUUGCAGGCGAAACUGCCGUGCUGGAGUGUGGGAGAGGUGCGUGGAAUUCCUGGUGUAGCGGUGAAAUGCGUAGAUAUCAGGAGGAACACCUGUGGCGAAAGCGGCGCACUGGACCGCAACUGACGCUGAGGCGCGAAAGCGAGGGGAGCAAACAGG